UCGAUCAGGACGUCUCAACACGUCAGCAUUGUGAACCUUGCACAACUAGCGGUACUCAAGACCGUGAACAGAAAAACGUCGAAAACACAAGAAACGUCAAGAACAACGAACAGCUAACAUUUAGACUAUUUCUUCAAUAUGAACAAUUUAAUGAAGACUAUAUCCAUUAUACUUAAACUCGUGCAAGCUCUUCUCUUGCUAAUAGGUUUGGGACUUGUGGGUAAUUUUACAAAAGAGAAACAUGAUUCUGACACCGAAAACGAUCUACCAACAGAUCCUUACGACAUAGGGCAAUACGGACGAUACGAGUUCUACUUGUACUCUGCGUGUAUUGGGAUAAUCAUUGCUGUUUUGGGACUUAUAUGUACAAUCUGCGGAAUGCUGGAGAAAAAACAUGGCGCCAUGGGCUUGGCCGUCGUACAAGUAUUGUGGGUGUUUCAGUUGUUAAUUUCAACAUCUCUGCUUGCCAAAGUUUUGACCACAUACAACAAGGAGGGCGAUUCAGGGUCGUCAACAUGCGAAACAUGGGACGACUCAGAAGAGGAGUAUUAUUGCAGCCAAUUGAUUGGUGGCGUG